UACGGGGGGGGCUAGCGUUGUUCGGAAUCACUGGGCGUAAAGGGCGCGUAGGCGGCUUUAUAAGUCGGGGGUGAAAGCCUGUGGCUCAACCACAGAAUUGCCUUCGAUACUGUAGAGCUUGAGACCGGAAGAGGUAAGUGGAACUGCGAGUGUAGAGGUGAAAUUCGUAGAUAUUCGCAAGAACACCAGUGGCGAAGGCGGCUUACUGGCCCGGUUCUGACGCUGAGGCGCGAAAGCGUGGGGAGCAAACAGG
rnacentral:rRNA from 1 species